UACGUAGGGUGCAAGCGUUGUCCGGAAUUAUUGGGCGUAAAGAGCUCGUAGGCGGUCUGUUGCGUCGGCUGUGAAAACCCGGGGCUCAACCCCGGGCCUGCAGCCGAUACGGGCAGACUAGAGUUCGGCAGGGGAGACUGGAAUUCCUGGUGUAGCGGUGAAAUGCGCAGAUAUCUGGAGGAACACCGGUGGCGAAGGCGGCAUCCUGGACCGACACUGACGCUGAGGAGCGAAAGCCAGGGGAGCAAACGGG
rnacentral:rRNA from 1 species